CUUCCUCCGGUUUGUCACCGGCAGUCAACUUAGAGUGCCCAACUUAAUGAUGGCAACUAAGCUUAAGGGUUGCGCUCGUUGCGGGACUUAACCCAACAUCUCACGACACGAGCUGACGACAACCAUGCACCACCUGUCACUUUGUCCCCCGAAGGGGAAGGCUCUAUCUCUAGAGUAGAGCCUUCCCCUUCGGGGGACAAAGUGACAGGUGGUGCAUGGUUGUCGUCAGCUCGUGUCGUGAGAUGUUGGGUUAAGUCCCGCAACGAGCGCAACCCUUAAGCUUAGUUGCCAUCAUUAAGUUGGGCACUCUAAGUUGACUGCCGGUGACAAACCGGAGGAAGGUGGGGAUGACGUCAAAUCAUCAUGCCCCUUAUGAUUUGGGCUACACACGUGCUACAAUGGACAAUACAAAGGGCAGCGAAACCGCGAGGUCAAGCAAAUCCCAUAAAGUUGUUCUCAGUUCGGAUUGUAGUCUGCAACUCGACUACAUGAAGCUGGAAUCGCUAGUAAUCGUAGAUCAGCAUGCUACGGUGAAUACGUUCCCGGGUCUUGUACACACCGCCCGUCACACCACGAGAGUUUGUAACACCCGAAGCCGGUGGAGUAACCUUUUAGGAGCUAGCCGUCGAAGGUGGGACAAAUGAUUGGGGUGAAGUCGUAACAAGGUAGCCGUAUCGGAAGGUGCGGCUG
rnacentral:rRNA from 1 species